rnacentral:lncRNA from 1 species
UACCACAGAGGUAGGAAAUUUUAAUACUUUAAUAAAUGGUAUCCCUGUAUAAAAAGCAUGCUGAAUCUGUAUCAUCCUGGUUCUAGGUGUGAUGACAUGUGCUGAGACACUGACCCGUGCAGCCGGUUGUGGUGGUCAAGAAGGCCAGUACCACUAUCUGUUGAAGAGACAACUAUCUGCACAGCAACCAUAUGAAAAAGACUGAACCUAUGAGAAAGAUGUUUUACAACUGUAAGACAUAAAGAAGGAGCCCCAAUGAAACAGUGGCCUCUGAGUGCAACCGAUACCUUCAAGGCUGCUGCGUCAUUCUGGGGAAGUCAGACCUCAUUUGCCAUCUAAACAUAAUCAUAAGCUCUCCUGGAUGUCAAGGUCUAGUUUUAAUAACUGGUUCCUGUUUAAUUCAGACAAAUGCAACUCUCAAAAUGACUGGCAGCUUAAAUUCUGCCAGAUUUGCAGCUGUUAUCUUUCAACUAGAGUAUAAGCUAACAGCUUAACACUGUGCAGCUACAGCAGAGCAUGGAAGCCAUAAAUAUACCUCUUUAAAUGGGUACAAUAUAUCUGCUUAUUUCAAUUUUAUAUGGGAAACCAAUUUCAC